rnacentral:misc_RNA from 1 species
GAUGAAGAACGCAGCGAAAUGCGAUAAGUAAUGUGAAUUGCAGAAUUCAGUGAAUCAUCGAAUCUUUGAACGCACAUUGCGCCCCUUGGUAUUCCGAGGGGCAUGCCUGUUCGAGCGUCAUUAUAACCCCUCAAGCUCAGCUUGGUGUUGGGGCCUGCUGCACUGGUAGCCCUUAAAAUCAGUGGCGGCGCCAUCUGGCUCUAAGCGUAGUAAUUCUUCUCGCUAUGGAGUCCUGGUGGAUGCUUGCCAUCAACCCCCAAUUUUUCUAUGGUUGACCUCGGAUCAGGUAGGGAUACCCGCUGAACUUAAGCAUAUCAAUAAGCGGAGGA